UACGUAGGUGGCAAGCGUUAUCCGGAUUUACUGGGUGUAAAGGGCGCGUAGGCGGGAAGGCAAGUCAGAUGUGAAAUCCAGGGGCUCAACCCCUGAACUGCAUUUGAAACUGCUUUUCUUGAGUGUCGGAGAGGUAGAUGGAAUUCCUAGUGUAGCGGUGAAAUGCGUAGAUAUUAGGAGGAACACCAGUGGCGAAGGCGAUCUACUGGACGAUAACUGACGCUGAGGCGCGAAAGCGUGGGGAGCAAACAGG
rnacentral:rRNA from 1 species